rnacentral:rRNA from 1 species
AUUCCAGCUCCAAUAGCGUAUAUUAAAGUUGUUGCAGUUAAAAAGCUCGUAGUUGAAGUUUGGUCUCGGACGCUGGGUCUGCUUCAUUGCAUGUACUUGGCGGUCCGAGACUUCCUUCCUGGUGAACGGCCGCCUUUGGGUGGUCCGGAACCAGGACCACUACUUUGAAAAGAUUAGAGUGUUCAAAGCAGGCCAUAGGCCCGAAUAUAUUAGCAUGGAAUAACAGAAUAGGACGUGCGGUUCUAUUUCGUUGGUUUCUAGAACUGCCGUAAUGAUUAAAAGGGACAGCCGGGGGCAUUAGUAUUUGCACGCUAGAGGUGAAAUUCUUGGAUUGUGCAAAGACUUCCUACUGCGAAAGCAUUUGCCAAGAAUGUUUUCAUUA